rnacentral:lncRNA from 1 species
CGGGCCUACGCCUGUCUGGCUUCUAAGUAGCCCUGUGUCUUCCCCGCAGGACCCUUUCAGGGACGACGGUAAUUUGAGCUACAGAAACUAUAAAUGGCCUUUGUAUACAUUUAUAGGAUAUUUGCUAAUGCCUACAGGAGCCGGAUUUUAAACUUAUAAAUAACAUUAAAGUUAUCUUUUUAGUAAGUUUAAGCUGAUCUUUUUUUUUUUUUUUUUUUUUUUAGUGUGGAUCCCUGAUUCACAUUCUCUGAAGUACUGCAGUUAUGAGUUAGUUGAGAACAGGAGUGGGGAAAUACACAAAGGGAAAGAAUUAGUAGAUGGUUGAGUUUUACUAAAAAAAGUCUCCUGAACCCAAGUUUGAGGGAAUCAGUUGGUCAUUUGCUCUUACUUAAUGCAGAUGGAUUGCUUGACAAAACCCUUAAAGACCGCUUCUUUUCUCCUAGUUACCAUUAUUCCCUUGACAGCAACUCCCAUAAUUACUGGGGUUUUUCCCGUCAAGAAGUGAACCCAGUAAUUGAGAACACAUUGGGUGAAGCUUGUUUUUCUCCUGCCACAGUGGGAAAAGCUUUCACAUGGGUUAAACUAAGGCUCUCCUCCCUGAACCACAUCUGCACACUGCUGCCCCUGGAAGGACGUACUACAGAACUGGCCCAUCACCGUGAAAUCAAGCCACUAUUUACCUCUAUUCAAUG